rnacentral:lncRNA from 10 species
GGAAAUAACCCAGGUGUUCAUCAACAUAUGAAUGGAUGAACAAAAUGUAUAUACAUGCAAUGAAAAUUUAUUCAGCUAUAAAAAGGAAUGAAGUUCUGCUCUGUGCUACUUCAUGGAUGAACCUUGAAAACACUAUGCUAAGUAAAAUAAGCCAGACACAAAAGGACAACUCUAAAUGGGUGAAUUGUAUGGUAUGUAAAUUAUAUUAAAAACUUUUUUAAAUAUUUCUUUGCAUGUUUUAAAUAUAAGCCUUUUACUGGACAUGUAUUAUGUAAAUAUUUUUCCUAGUCUGUGGCUUGUCUUUUCAUUCUCUUGGCAGUGUCUUUCACAGACCAGCAUUUUCUAGUUUGAAUGCUGGGGAGAGAGAUGGGGAAUAAGAUGUCAUGGAAUCUCUGACCUGGUCACAAUCAAGCCCUGUAGAGACAAUGUUUGCUGGAAGAAGUUGCAGGAACUGUUCUCAUAAGAGACACUGUGAGAAUGGGACACGUGCAGCCCCACCUUUAUCCCAAGAUGAGAAGCCACAUUGUGAGGAAGAUUUUACAACCUUCCCUUUACAGAUGAGAAGGCUAAGCAAGAGAGGUUACAUAAUGCUCCUGAAGUUCCACGGCUGUUACUUCACACUCUAUUGCUUCUUAAACCAGGAUGCAUUUUAUAAUAAAUAAGUAUAUUUGGUGUGAUAAUUUUUUUCCUGAUGAUUUUCUUUGACUAGAGGUAAGUGAUAAAACCAUUUGUAUUCUUGCCACUAUAGUACACAUCCUCCCAGGACGUUGGUGAGACGGACCUCAGAAAAUGUGGUGGGGUGUCAGGGGAGUUGUGAGAAAGGAGUGGAUAAAAAAAGAAGAGUGGCCAGGCGCGAUGGCUCAUACCUGUAAUCCCAGCACUUUGGGAGGCUGAGGCGGGUGGAUCACCUGAAGUCGGGAGUUCAAGACCAGUCUGACCAACAUGGAGAAACCCCAUCUCUACUAAAAAUACAAAAUUAGUCAGGCAUGGUGGUGCAUGCCUGUAAUACCAGCUACUCGGGAGGCUGAGGCAGGAAAAUCGCAUGAAACUGGGAGGCGGAGGUUGCAGUGAGCCAAGAUCAUGCCACUGCACUCCAGCCUGGGCAACAAGAGUGAAACUCUGUCAGAAAGAAAGAAAGAAAGAAAAGAAAGAAAGGAAGGAAGGAAGGAAGGAAGGAAGGAAGGAAGGGAGGAAAAGAGUGAAUGAAAGUUAGACUCCUUGGCUACUCCCAAUUUCCUCUUUAUUUUGUAAUUUGGGAUCUGUAAAACUUUGAAUACUGGGCUUCUUUUGUAUUUUUACAAAGUAAUAAGGACAACUUAUCAUAAAAGAGUGCCAGAGACUGGGCACUUUCACCAAAAGCCUUUAGGCAGGCGACUGUUCACUGCCUCGGUAAAGACUAUGAUCAUCUUUCCUUGGCUCAGAGCACCUUAGGGAGGCCCAGGUAUCUAAUUAUGACAUCAUCUUUGUUAAUGAUCACUGUGGCUUUUCAGAACAGUCCACUUCUCUCUACAAGGAGAAAUGUUUUUCUUGGCUGACUGCCGCCACCUUCUUUUGUAUUUGAGGAAAAGGGAUGACUGUUUAGCAGCUGGUAAUUUCAGGGAUUACAAGAUAAUACUUCUUGAAGCUACUUUUCAUCCUGAAGCUAAUAUUAAGGCAACCUCAGAUUUACAAGUCUGCAAAGCAGAAAUGAAGGCACUGUAGUUGCACCACGGCCUCCAACAUAGGACAGGCACAAGACAGUUCACUAGGGCUUAAGGGGGAAGUGUGAGAACUUAUAUUUCUCUACAAAAGAAAUAAACUUUGCUAAUCGGCACUCAGAUGCUUGUUCUGUGUAUGUAAAAAAGUCAUGGGGUAUAUGAGGGGUCUGAAGGUAAGAGUAGGGACUGUACAACAUGUACAAGUCAGAGGAGUUGAUGCUGGGGCCCUUAUUCAUUCUUACCACAUUGAGAAGUUACAGUUUCCGUGUGUCUAGUAAAUAGAGUUACAGAUUAUAUUAUCUGGUUUUAACAAAACUCUCAAUAUAAGACAGGCGGCUUUUGAAAAAUGGCUGAUUCUCACAGUCAUAUUUUAACCUAAUACCCUUGUGGAAUUCAGCGAGGACAUGCUGGUAGGGACCUGACUAUUGUUACUAGUUUUGAAUGUCUCAUCUGUUACAGGGCCACUGCUCUGACCUCUCCAAGUCAGGUGUAGUCCCCACCUGCUCUGGAUUCUCCCAGGGAACCUUUGGAUCUCCUCAAGAUCUAACAACCAAUGGGUUAAUGUCUGGAAUAGUAGGAGGCCUCAAGACCCUUCCCUAGCACUAAAGACCUGUGACCAUUUCGACUGGUCACUGGAAUUCCUGCAAGUGUGGCUCUGCUGUUCUAGAUUGACAUUGUCGACCCUGAAGGAAGCGAUGUUGAUGUUCACAGAGACCUGCAGAGUGACCUCUCCUCCAAAUGCCUCAAAAUAAAUGAUGGCAUGCCUGAGACUACAUUUAGUGCCAUUUGGCUACCAGGCUUUUCUAAAACCUGUAUCUUCUGGUCUCUUCCAACUGGGAUGUUUUCUGUGAUGGGCAAGUACUUGCAUGGCUUCUGCUUUUGACCACUAUUGGAAAACGUUUCUGCAUCUUAUUCUGAUGAAGAAUGACAUAAAUAAGGGAUCUUACUUGUAAAUAUCCACAACAUGUUCUCCUUGGUCCAGAGCUCCAACAGCCAAGCUGCUGCUACUUGGCACCUGCAUGUCCUGGUGUUCUUAAGUGUGUGCUGUUCCACAUCACAGUGAUGGGGUGUGGGACUUUUGAGGGAAGAGACUUGGCCCACGGAGGACUAAAGCGUUGCCACAGAUGAGUUGGUCAUAGACAGUAUCAAAGGGGAGUUUGUUACUCAAGUUUGCAAAGGACAUUAUUAGACAACCCAACAAUCCCACAGCAGCGUGGCCAUGCAGAGACUUCCAUGACUUCAUCUAUCUACUUACGUUGCACCUAUCUACUCAGCAUCUACUAUGUGGGGCUAACUGUGGCACUGAAGAUACGGACAUGAGAAAGAGAGAGUGCCUUUGUUAAGGAGCUCACAUCCCAGUGAGAAAGCAAGGUUAAGAGAAUGAUACAAUUCAAGAUAAGAACAGACACAGAAAUGUGUCACGUGCUAUGGGACUGCAGAGAAAGGAGAGAAUAGAUCUCCCUGCGGGCUGGGAGGAGCAGUGGGGAAAGCUUCACAGAAAAGUACCUUUUCAAUUAGGCUUUAACUUUGGACAGUUGCUUUCAAAGCUGGAGGCAGGAGAAGGGAAGUAGGACAGGCAUGGAGGCACCAGCCACAGAGCACCUCAAGGCAGAGGAGAUUUGGGUGCUGUGCCACCUGGGAGGUGAGGCUGAUAGGACAGCUGUGCAUCAGGCAGGGAAGCUGGAGGGGUAGGUCAGACCAGAAUGACAUGGGUCCUGAAAGCUUUGUUAAUUACGUUACUCUGGAGGCAGUGGGGAGCCACUGAAGGUUUUAAAGCAUGGCCUCCUGUGCCAUGCUAAGAAACAGCUAAUUUUACUGAAGGCAAUGGCAAAGGACAUCAAGCAGGCAAGGAUUGUUCCAAUUUUCCCUUUGAUGAGCCCACUAGCACUAUGAGGCAGUAAUAAGGCUGCUGCCAUAGUUCACGUGAAGGAAGAAGAUGCUCUACCAGUGCAAAUGGAGUAGAGGUGAAAACAUAGAUUCAAGGUACAUUUCAGAGGGAGAGAAAGCAAGAUACUAUUCCUUCUUGUGUGUUGGGCGAUGGGGGGAAGGCAGAAGACAUGCAAGCCUGGAUGUUUCAAACCUAGUGAGUGGGCUAGAGCUGCUUCCAUUUAUGUUCCUAAGCACUGCUUUGGCAUUUAUACUGGAAUCCUAAGGGUCAAUAAGAUAUUUUUCCUUUUGUAGGGGUCAGAUUAGCUGCCAAAGCACUGGAGGAGUUGGAGGAGUUGGAGGAGUUGCUGACAUCAGCCCUUAGAGUUUGGAAUAUAGCAAUACUGCUUUAUCUGGAUUUUCCACAGGCCCCUGUUAUGGGCUGAAUUGGGUCCUCCCAAAAUUCAUGAGAUGAAGUGCUUGCCCCUAGUACCUCACAAUAUGAUUGUAUUUAAAGAUAAGUCAUUUAAAAAGGCAGUGGCAUUAAAAUGGGGUUGUUAGGGUGGACCCAAAUCCAAUAUGAUGGGUGUCAUAGCAAGAGGAGAUUAGAACACAGACAACACAGACAGAGGGACAAGGAUCAUGUGAGGUCACAGCAGGAAGGUGGCCAUCUGUAAGCGAAGGAGAGAGGUUUCAGGAGAAACCAAACCUGUCAGUAUCUUGAUCUUGGAGAUUGUAUUACUCUGUUCUCAUGCUGCUAAUAAAGAUAUACCCAAGACUGGGCAAUUUACAAAAUAAAGAGGUUUAAUGGACUUACAGUUCCACAUGGCUGGGGAGGCCUCACAAGGCAAAAGGCAAGGAGGAGCAAGUCGCAUUUUAUGUGGAUGGCAACAGGCAAACAGAGUUUCUGUGGGGAAACUCCCCUUUUUUAAAAUCAUCAGAUCUCGUGAGACUUAUUUGCUUUCAUGAGAACAGCAUGGGAAAGACCUGCUCCUGUGACUCAAUUACCUCCCACCGAGUCUCUCCCACAACACGUGGGAAUUCAAGAUGAGAUUUGGGUGGGGACACAGCCAAACCAUAUCAGACAUCUAGAGUCCAGAACUGUGAGAAAAUAAAUUUCUAUUGUUUAAGCCACCUAGUCUGCAGUGUUUUGUUAUGGGAGCCUGAGCAAACUAAUACACUUCCUAUGAAGAAAAUCUCACGUGAAGUCCAAGCCUGUCUGGUCUAAGAGAAAAAAGUCACCACCUGAGAACUGGGACCACAUUCUUUGUUCUAAUUGUUCCAGCUAGUCCAGCUUCUCCACUAACCUACUUAAUCAUUACAGACAUGGGCACUGUGACAAUGAUGGCCAGG